AAAUUUGUGUUUUCUUUUCUCUUCGUAUUUUGUUUGCAAAUUUGUGCAUUGAUUUUGGUUGCUGCGACGCCGGCAGCGACAGCGCCAGCGCAAGAGACGGCAGCGUAAGAGACGGCAGCGCGCAACAACUCAAGAGAGCGCUAUGUGACAGCGUUGCCAGCAUGCAUGAUAAUAACAACAACGCCAACUGUGUGUGUGUGUGUGUGUGUGGGGAACCGCGCACAUGCUGAGCUCUCCUCAAGCAGAGAGACAGAGCAGCGACGCAGCAGGUGUGGUGAAGUUGGCUUAGCUUGCCGCUGUCCAGCAUUGCUAUAGACACACCAAUAGAGAGCAAGAGCGAACGAACAAAAAAAAAACAGAAAACAAAAAAAAAAAUUUGUGCAGCUGAUUAAAAUCACAGUUGGCAAUGAAUGCAGCGCGCGAGCGCCUUUGAUUUUAAUUACGACACAACACUGUUGGCGUGUCUGUGUGUAUGAGUGUGUGUGUGUGUGUGUGUGUGUGUGUAUGCUUGCGUGUGCUUGUGAGCAAAAUUUACGUAAUAAAACAUAAACAAGUUGCAUUGGGUGAAACAAUGAAAAAUAUCAUAUAAAUAUUAUAGAACACAGGCACAAAACACACACACACACAUAGACAGAGAGAAAGAGAGA